rnacentral:rRNA from 1 species
CGGAGGGCUAGCGCUGUUCGGAAUUACUGGGCGUAAAGCGCACGUAGGCGGACUGGAAGUUGGGGUGAAAUCCCGGGGCUCAACCUCGGAACUGCCUUCAAACUAUCAGUCUGGAGUUCGAGAGAGGUGAGUGGAAUUCCGAGUGUAGAGGUGAAAUUCGUAGAUAUUCGGAGGAACACCAGUGGCGAAGGCGGCUCACUGGCUCGAUACUGACGCUGAGGUGCGAAAGCGUGGGGAGCAAACAGGAUU